GAUGAAGAACGUAGCAAAAUGCGAUAAGUAAUGUGAAUUGCAGAAUUCAGUGAAUCAUCGAAUCUUUGAACGCACAUUGCGCCCGCCAGUAUUCUGCGGGCAUGCCUGUUCGAGCGUCAUUUCAACCCUCAAGCCCUCGGGUUUGGUGUUGGGGAUCGGCGAGCCUUUCUGGCAAGCCGGCCCCGAAAUCUAGUGGCGGUCUCGCUGCAGCCUCCAUUGCGUAGUAGUAAAACCCUCGCAACUGGAACGCGGCGCGGCCAAGCCGUUAAACCCCCAACUUCUGAAUGUUGACCUCGGAUCAGGUAGGAAUACCCGCUGAACUUAAGCAUAUCAAUAAGCGGAGGA
rnacentral:misc_RNA from 1 species